ensembl:rRNA 5S_rRNA 5S ribosomal RNA
AAUUAUAAAAAAAACACGCCUGAUCUCGGAAGCUAAGCAGGGGCGGGCCUGGUUAGUACUUGGAAUGGGAGACCACCUGGGAAUACCAGGUUCUAUAAGCU